UCUCUACCUCUGUGAUCUUGUUCGCCCGAAAAAAAAGAGCCACAAGUGUCGUAUUCCUGUGCCUCCGUCGCCUCCCUCACGUGGCCGCCGCGCCGCCGCGCCGCCGCUGCGUUCCGCAUGACUGCGCCGCCCGCUCGUCUCCCCCUCACGCCUCGGAGCUGUUUGGUGGCGGUGUAGCAAUACGUUAGCGGCGUCGACGUUGGAGGAGACAGGUGGGCCUGCCCGUCGAUGGCCGCAUAGGUCGACGGGCGGCAGCGUAAUGCCCAUCACGCCGGUGGGGGCUUUGCUAUUCUUCGCUUCAAGCCCUUGUCGGAGCCCUCGGCGAGGCGAGCGGCCCCAGGGAUGGUGGCGACGCAGCAGGCACAGCUGUGGCGCCGUCAUCGAGCUCGCGCAUCGGGGCACAGGGGCACAAGUACGAGACCGUCGUCGUCAGAUGGUUGCAGCGGCGGCGGCCUCCAUCGAGAAGUCAUCAUUCGUCACCCAGCCAACCUUGUCUACAUUUGAAACCAGUAUGUCUACAUUGAAAAUCAGUAUGAGUAAAAGCUACCAGAUCUGACAACACUUUGUCUACAUUUAAAACCAGUAUGUCUACAUUGAAAAUCAGUAUUUGGUUGGAUUUUUAUACUACUGGUAUUUUAUCAUUUUAAUUGAUUGUUGCUUGGAUGUAUAAAUAUGUGUUUUCACGUCACUUGAGAUCUUAUAUGCUAUCCGUAUUUGUCUUCAAUAUGUAUCCCUUGCCGCAGUGUGUCAUUGAUCAUCAAGCACUUGCCUGCCUCUGGACAAUCUCAAACAACACAGCUGGUAACGGGGACUAGACUCACGUUGUGAUCAAGGCAAACAUAAUCGGACAACUGGUGCAUCUUCUGCAAGGUGCUUAAUAAAUUGCUAUAAAGGGCAAGCCAUUAUCACUGUGUUAUUUCUUCAGAGAAAGACGAAGCAAAUUACUCCACAGGAAACCUGCACAAUGUAUUCACUGUAGUUCUCAACAGUAAGGGAUUUCCCGUGGAGACAUUCUGUAUUGCUAAAGAAAUCCGCGAACUGUUUUGUACGCUAAGUUUCAUUCUUGUUUCAGUAUUAGUAUGGAACAAUUAUGUGUUGUGAAGCAUCAGGUAAAGAAGCCACAAUCUCGUGUUGAUCA